GACGUAGGGCGCGAGCGUUGUCCGGAUUUAUUGGGCGUAAAGAGCUCGUAGGCGGCUUGUCGCGUCGGCUGUGAAAACCCGCGGCUCAACUGUGGGCGGGCAGCUGAUACGGGCAGGCUGGAGUUCGGUAGGGGAGAUCGGAAUUCCUGGUGUAGCGGUGAAAUGCGCAGAUAUCAGGAGGAACACCGGUGGCGAAGGCGGAUCUCUGGGCCGAUACUGACGCUGAGGAGCGAAAGCGUGGGGAGCGAACAGG
rnacentral:rRNA from 1 species